GACGGAGGGUGCAAGCGUUGUUCGGAAUUACUGGGCGUAAAGGGCGCGUAGGCGGUCUGUUAAGUUCGGUGUGAAAGCCCCCGGCUCACCUGGGGAACUGCGCCGGAAACCGACAGACUCGAGUACCGGAGAGGAGGGUGGAAUUCCUGGUGUAGCGGUGAAAUGCGUAGAUAUCGUAAGGAAGACCAGUGGCGAAGGCGGGUCUCUGGACAGUUCCUGACGCUGAGGCACGAAGGCCAGGGGAGCAAACGGG
rnacentral:rRNA from 1 species